AGCUCACAGCCCCGCGCGCUGCUCUGCUCCCUGAGCAAAAAGUCUCGCUCUUCCAGGGCGCUCCAGGCCCGGACCUCCCAGGGUUGCUGGGUCUCUGGGGCUUCCUGGGGUCAACGAACUGUGCUAGACUGGUGAUUUAAGAAUCUGACCAUCUCCAAUGAAGAAUGCGGGAAUAAAAUAUCAUGCAAAUAAUUUCAAGGCCGAGAGACUCUCUGGGGAUUCCCAACAAAAUGGGUGCAAGCCAAGACUGAAAGGCAGCUCCUGACUCCAGUUUCUAAGUUGCCGCCCCGCCCACCGCUGGUUCCUGUGCAGAGAGAGAGAGAUUCCUUGAUCAGAAGCCCAGGAAACAGUGUGGCUGACUUCACAGCACCCUCACCUAUGCCUGGCGCUCACUCUCCUGAGGGGGAAAUGAUCCUCAGGGCAGGUGCAUGCAUCAGCCCUGGACGAGACCCCGGGCCCUCCGCCUUCCCCUUCUCCUUGAAAGUGACCCCAUAUGGGAUUUGGGGACCAGCUUCCCUGGACCUCUGUUCUCUCCUCUGUAAAGUGAGGAGGUUUAACUGCUACAGUUGUGUGACUGAUUUUUGUAUUAAAGCAAAAUUAUACCAAAAAUA